GGGGGCACGUGCACNCCUCGUCCAUGUCUCUCUCACCCCUGUGCACCUCUGCGUUGGGUCCCGUUGGUUCGGGGCUCACGUCCUUUUCAUAAAACACGCAUGUACCAGAACGUCACACCUUUUUGUUAUUUAUACAACUUUCAACAACGGAUCUCUUGGCUCUCGCAUCGAUGAAGAACGCAGCGAAAUGCGAUAAGUAAUGUGAAUUGCAGAAUUCAGUGAAUCAUCGAAUCUUUGAACGCACCUUGCGCCCUUUGGUAUUCCGAAGGGCACACCUGUUUGAGUAUCGUGAAAUCAUCAACCCUUUCACAUCGUUGAAGGGCUUGGACUUUGGAGGUCUUUGCUGGUCCCGUGGGGAUCGGCUCCUCUUGAAUGCAUUUAGUGGAGCGUGUCAGCCCGCCCUUCGGUGUGAUAAUUCAUCUGCAUCGAUCGAGCGUAGGUUCCGAACGCGUUGCUUUUUUGAUCUCAAAUCAGGUGGGACUACCCGCUGAACUUAAGCAUAUC
rnacentral:rRNA from 1 species